rnacentral:misc_RNA from 1 species
AGCAGCCGCGGUAAUUCCAGCUCCAAUAGCGUAUAUUAAAGUUGUUGCAGUUAAAAAGCUCGUAGUUGAAUUUCGGGAUUGACGUGAUGGUCGUGCCUUACGGGGUAUGAACUGUUGCUGUUGAUUUCUCACCUUCUGGAGAAACUUGAUGUCCUUAAUUGGGUGUCUUGCGGAUCCAGGACCUUUACCUUGAAAAAAUUAGAGUGUUUAAAGCAGGCAUUUUUGCUCGAAUACAUUAGCAUGGAAUAAUAGAAUAGGACGGCAUGGUUCUAUUUUGUUGGUUUCUAGGAUCACCGUAAUGAUUAAUAGGGAUAGUUGGGGGGCAUUAGUAUUCAAUUGUCAGAGGUGAAAUUCUUGGAUUUAUUGAAGACUAACUACUGCGAAAGCAUUUGCCAAGGAUGUUUUCAUUAAUCAAAGAACGAAAGUUAGGGGAUCGAAGACGAUCAGAUACCGUCGUAGUCUUAACCAUAAACUAUGCCGACUAGGAAUCAGACGAUGUUAAUUUUUUUAAUGACUCG